ACCAUCCCCUACUUCUUUGUCCUCAAUACUUCACCAUCACUACCUGGGAUCAAAUUCAAACAAACUACAUGUACCCAAGACUUUAUCCCUGACUCCACUUUGGGGACAACCCAAACUAAGACAGGAAGUGUGUCUUGAGUGUUCGAUCUCCUUUUAUAUCCUCUUUGGGAAGAUACAUCUUCAAGUGUGACUGGCAUUCCUUGACCAAUGUGCAUUUUGGCUCCAUAUUCUGCUAUCUCUAGUCACCUUCUGGUUCUGGACUUUGCCCAAUUCUUCCACACCUUAUAGAAGCUUCUCUAUCUUUGUUGUUGUUGUUGUUGUUUAAUUCCCAUAGGGAUCCAAAAUUUUCCUAAAUAAAAUGUUCUUUAAGUGUGUGUUCAAAUGGCAUUGAUAGGCUACUUGGUUUAUGGCACUUGCUAUAUCACAUUGAUAUUUUAUCAAAGCCUUAACCCAAAGCAGUGGGUCCACUGGUAGGAAUUUGGGUUCCCUCCAAGUCUUGUCAAAGAGGCUAACAGCAAUGCUGCUGACACAGGGAAUUUGCCCUGCCAACACCCUUCUGCAAGAAACAAAUCCCCAAAUGUGUGAGUCAAAUGGGAAACUGGAGAGCAUAAUGAAAUGCAUGAUUCCAGAAUCACUGUGUGUUGUGUUUAUUCAAGAAAAUCUUAGAAUUAUUGACUAGAGCACCUGAUGCAGAAAAAUACAAAGUUAUGAACUUGACUGAGGCAAGAUUUUACUCAUUACAUAAAAAGUUUCUGUGCUUUACAAAACAUUAUCCCCUUUUGAUGCUCUUUACCAUAUAAAUAGACAAUGUGGGAUUUCUUAUAAUUAUUUACUCUAAAACUCCUUGAAGUGAGAGGAUUAUCUUGUCCAUUUUUAAAUUUCUAUUACCUAGUAGAUUAGACCUUGUAAAUAUUUGUGGAAAUGAGCAUGUGAAACACCUAAACAUUUCUGUUAUUUAUGUAGCACUAACUGCCUAGCAAAUUCUGUUUAGGGUUAGAUGAGGGCUUUUACAGUACAAUUUAAAGUGGUAUUUAUUAUGUGGUACUGUCAGCUGAAGAUCACUCAGAGAUAACUCAUUAUAUCUGAGCUGGAAUAAAGCAAGAACAUGGCACACUGGGAACUAUAUCUAGUCACUUAUGAUGGAGCAUGAUAAUGUGAGAAAAAGGAAUGUAUAUUGGGCCACUUUGCUGUACGUACAGUAGAAAACUGACAGAACACUGUAAACCAGCUAUAAUGGAAAAAAGUAAAAAUCAUUAAAAAAAGAAAGCGGGGCAGACAUGGAUUUCGAUCCUGGUUCUGUCAAUUCAGAGCUCACUGACCUUGGACAAUACACCUAACAUCUCCAAACCUCAUCUUGAAAAUGGAAUAAUAAUAAUACUUAUUUCGUAAGAGGUUUUGGAAGGUAAAAUUUAAAUAAGAUAAUGUACAUAAAGCCCUGAACAUGUACCACCCUUAGUCUGUGCUCACUAAUUUGUUAUCCCUAGUACUAUUUCUAUCAUUGUUAUUCAGUUUCCCUGGUACCACACAACUGGUGCUUGAUAGAUCCAGGACAAUAAACUGACUUAAUGAUUUUCAAACCAUUUUUCUUUUCACUGUAAAACACUGGGUCCUUGGGAGUUCCUGUGGUGGCACAGUGGAAACGAAUCUGACUAGUAUGCAUGAGGAUUCAGGUUCGGCCUCACUCAGUGGGUUAAGGAUCUGGCAUUGCCCUGAGCUGUGGUGUAGGUUGCAGAUGCAGCUUGGAUCCUGCGUUGCUGUGGUUGUGGUGUAGGCUGGCAGCUACAGUCUGAUUCGACCCCUAUACUGGGAACCUCCUUAUGCCGUGGUUGCAGCCCUAAAAAAAAAAAAAAAAAAAAAAAA
rnacentral:lncRNA from 1 species